ACCCUUUAAUGUUUGAUGUUCUAACGUGGACCCGUUACCCGGGUUGCGGACAGUGUCUGGUGGGUAGUUUGACUGGGGCGGUCUCCUCCUAAAGAGUAACGGAGGAGCACGAAGGUUGGCUAAUCCUGGUCGGACAUCAGGAGGUUAGUGCAAUGGCAUAAGCCAGCUUGACUGCGAGCGUGACGGCGCGAGCAGGUGCGAAAGCAGGUCAUAGUGAUCCGGUGGUUCUGAAUGGAAGGGCCAUCGCUCAACGGAUAAAAGGUACUCCGGGGAUAACAGGCUGAUACCGCCCAAGAGUUCAUAUCGACGGCGGUGUUUGGCACCUCGAUGUCGGCUCAUCACAUCCUGGGGCUGAAGUAGGUCCCAAGGGUAUGGCUGUUCGCCAUUUAAAGUGGUACGCGAGCUGGGUUUAGAACGUCGUGAGACAGUUCGGUCCCUAUCUGCCGUGGGCGCUGGAGAACUGAGGGGGGCUGCUCCUAGUACGAGAGGACCGGAGUGGACGCAUCACUGGUGUUCGGGUUGUCAUGCCAAUGGCACUGCCCGGUAGCUAAAUGCGGAAGAGAUAAGUGCUGAAAGCAUCUAAGCACGAAACUUGCCCCGAGAUGAGUUCUCCCUGAGACUUAA
rnacentral:rRNA from 1 species